AAUUUUCCGCAAUGGGUCAAGCAAGACGGAGCAAUCCCGAGGGAGGGAAGAUUGCUUGUGGGUUGUAAACUUAUUUUCUUAGGGAAGAUUUUAGCCGUUAGUAAGAAGUAAGCAUCGACUAAGUCCGGCUAACAGCGGGGGUGAUACGGCGGUAGCAAGCGUGUCCGAUUUACUGGCUUAAAGGGUCUGUAAGCGGGUUAAUAAGUCUGGGGAUAUUUAUUGAAAUUAACUGGAAAUCAGCAGUAAAACUUUAAUCUAGAGUAUGGUAUGGACAAAGGGAAUUGCCAGUGUAGCGGUGAUAUGGGUAGAUGUGGGAAGUAUACCGGAACGGAAAGGGCUUGGGUGGCCCUAGGUGCACUCAGACACGAAGGGUAGAUGGCGAAAGGAAUUAGAUACCCCUGUCUCUUAGCUCCA
rnacentral:rRNA from 1 species